rnacentral:rRNA from 1 species
AUUGAACGCUGGCGGCAGGCCUAACACAUGCAAGUCGAGCGAGCGGCGGACGGGUGAGUAAUGUCUGGGAAACUGCCUGAUGGAGGGGGAUAACUACUGGAAACGGUAGCUAAUACCGCAUACCAUCAGAUGUGCCCAGAUGGGAUUAGCUAGUAGGUGGGGUAACGGCUCACCUAGGCGACGAUCCCUAGAUUGUCUGGGAGGAUUAACAGCCAAACUGGAACUGAGACACGGUCCGAACGCCUACGGGAGGAAGCAGUGGGGAAUAUUGGAAAAUGGGCGCAAGCCGGAUGCAGCCAUGCCGCGGGUGUGAAGAAGGCCUUCGGGUUGUAAAGCACUUUCAGCGGGGAGGCGUUACCCGCAGAAGAAGCACCGGCUAACUCCGUGCCAGCAGCCGCGGUAAUUC